rnacentral:rRNA from 1 species
AACCAGUACCGUGAGGGAAAGGCGAAAAGAACCCCGGCGAGGGGAGUGAAAAAGAACCUGAAACCGUGUACGUACAAGCAGUGGGAGCACCCUUUGGGUGUGACUGCGUACCUUUUGUAUAAUGGGUCAGCGACUUAUAUUCUGUAGCAAGGUUAACCGAAUAGGGGAGCCGGAGGGAAACCGAGUCUUAACCGGGCGUUAAGUUGCAGGGUAUAGACCCGAAACCCGGUGAUCUAGCCAUGGGCAGGUUGAAGGUUGGGUAACACUAACUGGAGGACCGAACCGACUAAUGUUGAAAAAUUAGCGGAUGACCUGUGGCUGGGGGUGAAAGGCCAAUCAAACCGGGAGAUAGCUGGUUCUCCCCGAAAGCUAUUUAGGUAGCGCCUCGUGAAUUCAUCUCCGGGGGUAGAGCACUGUUUCGGCUAGGGGGCCAUCCCGGCUUACCAACCCGAUGCAAACUGCGAAUACCGGAGAAUGUUAUCACGGGAGACACACGGCGGGUGCUAACGUCCGUCGUGAAGAGGGAAACAACCCAGACCGCCAGCUAAGGUCCCAAAGUCAUGGUUAAGUGGGAAACGAUGUGGGAAGGCCCAGACAGCCAGGAUGUUGGCUUAGAAGCAGCCAUCAUUUAAAGAAAGCGUAAUAGCUCACUGGUCGAGUCGGCCUGCGCGGAAGAUGUAACGGGGCUAAACCAUGCACCGAAGCUGCGGCAGCGACACUGUGUGUUGUUGGGUAGGGGAGCGUUCUGUAAGCCUGUGAAGGUGUGUCGUGAGGC